UAGAGAGUGGUGUACAGGGAGCACGAAGAGUUUUGAUCUCUUAGGUUGAGGUUCAAAUCCUCCCUCCCUAA
rnacentral:tRNA from 1 species